UACGGGGGGGGCAAGCGUUGUUCGGAAUUACUGGGCGUAAAGCGUGCGCAGGCGGUCUCUUAAGACAGGUGUGAAAUCCCCGGGCUUAACCUGGGAACUGCGCUUGUAACUGAGAGGCUAGAGUGUGGCAGAGGGGGGUGGAAUUCCACGUGUAGCAGUGAAAUGCGUAGAGAUGUGGAGGAACACCGAUGGCGAAGGCAGCCUCCUGGGCCAGCACUGACGCUCAUGCACGAAAGCGUGGGGAGCAAACAGG
rnacentral:rRNA from 1 species